UACAGAGGGUGCGAGCGUUAAUCGGAAUUACUGGGCUUAAAGCGCACGUAGGCGGCUUGGUAUGUCGGGUGUGAAAUCCCCGGGCUCAACCUGGGAACUGCAUCCGAAACUGCCUUGCUAGAGUAUGGGAGAGGGAAGUGGAAUUUCCGGUGUAGCGGUGAAAUGCGUAGAUAUCGGAAGGAACAUCAGUGGCGAAGGCGACUUCCUGGACCAAUACUGACGCUCAGGUGCGAAAGCGUGGGGAGCAAACAGG
rnacentral:rRNA from 1 species